rfam:Aedes aegypti strain Liverpool supercont1.65 genomic scaffold, whole genome shotgun sequence.
CCUUUCAUGGCGUAGUGGUAACGCGCCCCAACUAGAGUUCGGGGAGUCGUGAGUUCGAUUCUCACUGAGAAGA